UCUCACUGAUGAUAAGAUUAGAUGACGAAUCUGAGAAAUUCCAUUCAUACAAAUAUGAUGUAAAUUGAGGCAUUUGUCUGAGAGAA
rfam:Zostera marina strain Finnish scaffold_389, whole genome shotgun sequence.